rnacentral:rRNA from 1 species
GACGAACGCUGGCGGCGUGCCUAAUACAUGCAAGUAGAACGCGUGGCGAACGGGUGAGUAAAGCGUAGGAAACGGCCUCAUAACGGGGGAUAACCUUUGGAAACGAUAGCUAAUACCGCAUACUGUGAGAUGGACCUGCGUUGGAUUGGCUAGUUGGUGAGGUAAAGGCUCACCAAGGCGACGAUCCCGAGCUGGUCUGAGAGGACGACCAGCCACACUGGAACUGAGACACGGCCCAGACUCCGACGGGAGGCAGCAGUGGGGAAUUUUGGACAAUGGGGGCAAGCCUGAUCCAGCCAUGCCGCGUGUAUGAAGAAGGCCUUCGGGUUGUAAAGUACUUUCAGCGAGGAGGUGUUACUCGCAGAAUAAGCACCGGCUAACUCCGUGCCAGCAGCCGCGGUAAUUC